rnacentral:rRNA from 1 species
GACGAACGCUGGCGGCGUGCCUAACACAUGCAAGUAGAACGCUGAAGUCGGGUCUUGUUGCGCUGGAGGAGUUGCGACGGGGUGAGUAACCCUUAGGUAACCUGCCUGUCAGCGGGGGAUAACUUUUGGAAGCGUUAGCUAUUCCCGCCUAAGAGUAGUUGUUGCUUGACAUUUCCUUAAAAGUUGCACUUGCUUCACUACCAGAUGGACCUCCGUUGUAUUAGCUAGUUGUUGGGGUAGCGGGUCACCAAGGCGACGUUACAUAGCCGACCUGAGAGGGGGAGCGGCCACACUGGGAUUGGGAGACGGCCCAGAACCCUACGGGUGGCAGCAGUAGGGAAUCUUCAGCAAUGGAAGGAAGGCUGAACGAGGAACGCCGCGCGAGUGAAGAAGGCUGUCGGGUCGUAAAGCUCAGUUGUAAGAGAGGAACGGAUGGGAGAGUGGAAAGUGAACACUGUGACGGUAUCGUAACAGAAAGCGACGGCUAACUACGUG